CCUACGGGGGGCAGCAGUGAGGAAUAUUGGUCAAUGGGCGCGAGCCUGAACCAGCCAAGUCGCGUGAGGGAAGACGGCCCUACGGGUUGUAAACCUCUUUUGCCGGGGAGCAACGGGCGCCACGUGUGGCGCCACUGAGAGUACACGGAGAAAAAGCAUCGGCUAACUCCGUGCCAGCAGCCACGGUAAUACGGAGGAUGCGAGCGUUAUCCGGAUUUGUUGGGUUAAAGGGGUGCGUGGGGGGAGCGUAAAGUCAGUGGUCAAAUUGAGGGGCUCAACCCCUUCCCGCCAUUGAAACUGGCGCUCUUGAGUGGAAGAGAAGUAUGCGGAAUGCGUGGUGUAGCGGUGAAAUGCAUAGAUAUCACGCAGAACCCCGAUUGCGAAGGCAGCAUGCCGGCUUCCGACUGACGCUGAAGCACGAAAGCGUGGGGAUCGAACAGGAUUAGAUACCCGGGUAGUC
rnacentral:rRNA from 1 species